UACGUAUGUCGCGAGCGUUAUUCGGAAUCACUGGGCGUAAAGAGUUCGUAGGCGGAUAAAUAAGUCAGAAGUGAAAUUUUGGGGCUCAACCCCGAAACUGCUUUUGAAACUGUUUGUCUUGAGUAUGUGAGAGGAAGAUGGAAUUCCUGGUGUAGCGGUGGAAUGCGUAGAUAUCAGGAAGAACACCGGUGGCGAAGGCGGUCUUCUGGCACAAUACUGACGCUGAGGAACGAAAGCGUGGGGAGCGAACAGG
rnacentral:rRNA from 1 species